ACACGACUACAUUAGAUACCCGGGUAGUCCUAGCCGUAAACGAUACUCGCUAGGUGUCGGCCACGGUGCGACCGUUGUCGGUGCCGUAGGGAAGCCGUGAAGCGAGCCACCUGGGAAGUACGGCCGCAAGGCUGAAACUUAAAGGAAUUGGCGGGGAGCACCACAAGAGGUGGAGGCUGCGGUUCAAUUGGACUCAACGCCGGAAAACUCAUCGGGAGCGACAGCAGUAUGAUUGCCAGGUUGAUGACCUUGCUUGACAAGCUG
rnacentral:rRNA from 1 species